ensembl:lncRNA
AGGGAUAGACAGGGAUAGACAGGGGAUAGACAGGGGAUAGACAGGGGAUAGACAGGGGAUAGACAGGGGGAUAGACAGGGGAUAGACAGGAAUAGACAGGGGAUAGACAGGGGAUAGACAGGGGUAGACAGGGAUAGACAGGGAUAGACAGGGGAUAGACAGUGGAUAGACAGGGGUAGAGAAGGGAUAGACAGGGAAUAGACAGGGGAUAGACAGGGGUAGACAGGGGAUAGACAGGGGUAGACAACGGAUAGACUUGGAUAGACAGGGGAAGAAAUGGAUAGACUUGGAUAGACAGGGAUAGAGAAGGGAUAGACAGGGGUAGACAGGGAUAGACAGGGGAUAAACAGGGAAUAGACAGGGAAUAGACAGGAGAUAGACAGGGGAAGAAAUGGAUAGACUCUGAUAGACAGGGGUAAAUAGGUGAUAAACAGGGAUAGGCAGGGGAUAGACAGGGGUAGACAGGGGAUAGACAGGGGUAGACAGGGGAUAGACAGGGGAUAGACAGCAUUAUAGACAGGGGAUAGACAUGGGUAGACAGGGGAUAGACAGGGGUAGACAGGGAUAGACAGGGGAUAGACAGGGGUAGACAGGGGAUAUACAGGGUAUAGACAGGGUUAUAGACAGGGGAUAAACAGGGAAUAGACAAGGGUAGACAGGGGUUAGAGACAGGGAUAGACUUGGAUAGACAGGGGAAGAAAUGGAUAGACUUGGAUAGACAGGGAUAGAGAAGGGAUAGACAGGGAUAGACAGGGGAUAGACAGGGGUAGACAACGGAUAGACAGGGGAUAGACAGGGGUAGAAACUGUUAGACACGGAUAGAUCGGAGAUAGACAGGAGAUAGACAGGGGAUAGACAGUGUUAUAGACAGGGGAUAGAAAGGUUUAUAGACAGGGGAUGGACAGGUUUAUAGACAGGGGAUAGACAGGGGAUAGACAGGGGAUAGACAAGGUUAUAGACAAGGGAUAGACAGGGUUAUAGACAGGGUUAUAAACAGGGUUAUAGACAGGGUUAUAGACAG